GCACUGCAGUGCAACCUCCGGACACCUCCUGGAAGAGCAGGGAGUUAGAGGGCAGGCCACCCAGCGGCUCCCGGGUCCCCCAACCCCACAGUCACUCACUGGACAGCCAAAUCCCCAACGCAGCCAUGCCGCAGCAAAGGGGCCGGAAGUGGGCGUGGCCCCGGCGGCCACGCGCGACGCUGCCGGGAAAACCGGAAGCCGACAUCUUGAAUGUGGUUCUCAAUCGCGGGCCCCGCCAUCUUGGGUCAGCGUACGGAAGGGAGGGCCCGCUGUGGGCUGGGUGUUCGGGGCGGGAGGAACUGUCCCGCGUGCAUCCUGCGUCGUCCGAGGCGGUCGAGAUACCUGUGGCGGAACCAUUCGCAGCUGUGUCCAAGACCUUUCGUGGGCUGUCGCCAGGCUUGGGAAUUUGGGGAUAACUCAGAAGAGUAGCAUCCAACGAACCUCAUUGGUGCGGCAUUCUGCAUGAUUUUUAACAUUUGUCUGCUCAUUAAGACAUGAUCAAGGUGGGCUUUCUGACAUGAGACAGAGAUUUUGGAUUUUACUUUAACAAGCACAUUUGGGUUUAGAGAAGAGAAGAGAGCCACACUCCAACUCCAAAGCCAGCUUUAAGUUUUAAUUGGACUGGGACUACAAAAAGACUGUUUGCAUUAUGUGUCUGUGGACAACAGCAGAAACAAACAUUUGGGAAGAUUUAUGAAAUUUUAUCCUGUUGAAAAUGGGAUAUAUCAAUAAACCAAUUUACUCUUUUUCUUGGGAA